UGUUACACACGCUCACGCAGCCCUCUUCCACACCUAUAUAUCAGCCACUUUUCGCUCAUAGGUGAUCUGCUUUUAUAAGCUCCCUAGCACUUUUAGCAUUUUCUUUUUUCUUCGCGUUCUAUCGACGUGCUGCGCUACCAUGGACGCUGCGAACCGCGGUCUUUCCUACCUCUGUUGUGUCGGCGGCUCCUUGAAGCCGUGGGCCGAGGGCCAAGACGAAGGGGAUGACAAGUAUGAGAGCCUCCAGGGCCCGGGAGGUCGAAACCUCACCGGCUCCGUCAACGACAAACGUAUUUGCGUUCCCCAGAAGAUCGAUCCUAAGACCUUCUUUGCAAAUGAGCGCACGUUCUUGAAGUGGCUGUCUAUUUCCGUGAUGAUUGGCCUGAUGUCUCUGACACUGUUGAACUUUGGCGAUUCCACUAACAACGGUGCGGAGCUAGCUGGCCUGGUGUUGCUCCCAGUCUCAAUUGUGUUCAUGGUAUACUCGCUGUUUAUCUUCCGCGAUCGCGCCAACAAGAUCUAUAUGCGAGAGCCAAUGCGCUACGACGACACACGCGGCCCAACGCUGCUAAUACUUGUGCUAGGCUCAGCGCUGGCUUUGGCGACGCUAUUCUCGCUGCAGCGUCAGUACACGCAGACAGUUGUCUCCUCCUUUUCAGAGUCCGCGCGCUUCUCGCAGUAGUAGUGAUAGGGGACUAGCCAUGGGGGGAGGGUGCAGGGGCUGUAAAACUCUUGGGAUGCACUCCAUGCUUCGCAUUGACCCAGCAACAAUCCUAACAAAAAGAAACCAGAUGUUUUCCGGUUCUCAGUUUCUUUUUCGUUUUGUUUUCGGAACUUUCAAGUGGUGUAGUGGGGCGCGUGCAACGGUGACUUUUUCUUACUACUGCUGGUCUCUGUUCUCUAACAGGCUUGUAUCGACAUCUGUGUGUGUGUGUGUGUGUGUGUGUUACUCCGAACCACUUUUCACGGGCAGGAAAGCGGCGUUCAUGCAGCUGUGCAUAGUGCGGUGGUACUACUCGUAAUGCGGAAAGGAAAAUUAAACAAGGUGUUGUAAAGCAGAAUGUCUUCUCUUGUUGCUCGGAAAGACAACCACCCACAAACUUGCACACGCUCGCGGGAAGGGAGGGAAAAGAAAGGGAAAGGGAAGCGGCCCGGAUGCGCGAAGCUGUGGUGCAACGAUACCUGAACACCGUGUACGCAGCACGGGAGGAGGAGGUCAGUUGUUGCCGUGGGCGGUAUGAGCGAGAACCCCAACAAGCCACGGCAGCCAAAGGUGCACAAGAGUGACGACAAAAAUCGAAAGCCGCAGGCAUGGGGCCACACACCCUUGCUGUUUUUGUUGUUGUUGUUUCCGCGUUGUCUGCGGUGCCUUCUCUCUGCUCCUCUCCCCCCUUCCUCCUUCCCUCUCUUUUGCGAAACCCUUUUCGCUUAGCUUCUGUGGUGACGUGUAGCCGUGAAGGAGCUCUCUACUGAAAUGCAACGUAAUAGCAUACGCAUACGCAUACACAUCCAUGCAUGCAUACACGUAGAAUGACUCUGUGAACGAACUCGAAGAGAAAUCUAAUGAGGUAAGCAACUGCAAAAGGAAUAGGAGGAGGAGGAAUGGAAAGCAAGCGUCCGCUGCUGCAAGAUCUGUGGUGGCUUCUGUAGCCCCGGUUGCGGCUGCGUCUCCAUGUUCUUUUUUUUUUCUCGCUUCUUCAAAGAUUAUUAUGUAUGAAUGCACUUUAUAUAAUUCGCUGUUGUUGUCUGACCUCGUCGUUCCAGCAAAGGCGAGGAAAGAGGCAAGCAAGCAAAAGGCAGGCCCGAAAAACAACAACAAAACAAUAUAUCAAAUACAUCCAUACAUAAACGAUCGGCACACACACACACACACAAAAAGGCAGAACUCCCCCCCCUCUGCACAAGCGUCCACACCAACAGCGCGGCAUUACCUGUCGCGCUGAAACAUGCCGACUCGAUCGCCCUGGUUUCUACACGCUCUUCUCUUUUUUUUCUUGUCAUUAAAGAAGGCCUGUCUUCCCACUCUUUUCAUUUUUUUUUGCUCCCCGUGGGCAUGUGGCCAUGUGUAGGUGCAUAUGCUUGAGCGUGUCUUGUUGCUUCUCUGCCGCCGUUUCCUUUUUCCUCCUUUGGUGUCUCUAAUGCCACGCUUGCUCACUGUAGAGAGGAAAAAAAAGAAUAAACAGCAAACAACUCGCUCUCUGGUCUUUUCAUUGUUGUUUACGCGAUGGUAUAAUGCGCUUGCGCGUAUGUACCGUGAUCGCGCGGGCAUACCCGUGUGUGCGCGUGCGGCGUAGGAUGGCGGAGGGAGAGCAGAACGAGGGCAGCGGGAAACCAGCGUUUUUGUUUGUUUGCGAGGUACGCUACGCUGAUGACUCUGGCGAGAGCCAAGACGCAUUUUACUCGCGGUAGCUCAGCCUUUAAUGUUGGGUUUCGUGUGUCGCACACGUUUGCCCUCUCCCCAUCCCCGCUCCGUGUACUGUCACUGAAGCUUCGUGUUGUCCCCCUCCCCCUUCUCCCCCAUCGGUGUCUGUUUCUAUGAUACCGUUGGCGCAGUGGUUGGAGCCUCAACAACGACAAAAAAGAAUUGCACACGCGUGGAGGUUUGAGAGCAGGAGACGAGACGUAGCACCCAUCACCGCCUUAGCAUCCUUCUCUCGCCCUUUUCUGCUCUUCGGUUUCACUCUGUUCGUUUCACAGGUUUGCGCUGCAAGAAGUGCAGCGAUGAGCUGAAUGCUUUCCUGCGCCGUCUGUAGAGGCUAAACCCUCACCAAAAAAAAGCCGCAGCGGCAUCGAAACCAAUAAAGAAGCAGGAGAGGUAGAGGCUACGCGAGGCACGAGUGCACAUGAUGUCAUCUUGGCUUUCCGGUGGAAGCGAUCGAUGCGAUCUCGUGGCGGGUGUGCACCCUCUAGGAGGGUGGGCAUGACGAAGAAGCACGAAGGAGGGAUAGAAAAGGGUAUGCGACGAUCGGCAGCCUCUGCCCUCAGCGUUCUCCCCUACGUAUGGACAGAAGGCUUCAACAUGAGGGCAAGGGUGGAGAGGUAUAUGCGCGCGCUUCUGUGGGAUCAUACGUCGGCGCAGUCGUAGCACAUCGACCUAGUCUUUCUCUUCCCCAUAGCUGUCUCCGCUGUCA
rnacentral:misc_RNA from 1 species